rnacentral:rRNA from 1 species
GGCGAACGCUGGCGGCGUGCUUAACACAUGCAAGUCGAACGGAAAGGCCCUGCUUUUGUGGGGUGCUCGAGUGGCGAACGGGUGAGUAACACGUGAGUAACCUGCCCUUGACUUUGGGAUAACUUCAGGAAACUGGGGCUAAUACCGGAUAGGAGCUCCUGCUGCAUGGUGGGGGUUGGAAAGUUUCGGCGGUUGGGGUUGGACUCGCGGCUUAUCAGCUUGUUGGUGGGGUAGUGGAUUACCAAGGCUUUGACGGGUAGCCGGCCUGGGAGGGUGACCGGCCACAUUGGGCCUGGGAUGCGGCCCAUGCUCCUACGGGGGGCAGGAGUGGGGAAUAUUGCACAAUGGGCGGAGGCCUGAUGCAGCAACGCCGCGUGCGGGAGGACGGCCUUCGGGUUGUAAACCGCUUUCGCCUGUGACGAAGCGUGAGGGACGGUAAUGGGUAAAGAAGCACCGGCUAACUACGU